rnacentral:rRNA from 1 species
AGAGUUUGAUCCUGGCUCAGGAUGAACGCUAGCGACAGGCUUAACACAUGCAAGUCGAGGGGCAGCGGGGCAGGAAGCUUGCUUUCUGCCGCCGGCGACCGGCGCACGGGUGAGUAACACGUAUGCAGCCUGGCCGUGACAGAUGGAUAACCGGGAGAAAUCCCGCCUAAUACAGCAUGACGCCGGGAAGGGACAUCCCUUUCCGGCCAAAGGGGGCGACUCCGGUCACGGAUGGGCAUGCGGCGCAUUAGGUAGUUGGUGGGGCAACGGCCCACCAAGCCGACGAUGCGUAGGGGUUCUGAGAGGAAGGUCCCCCACAUUGGAACUGAGACACGGUCCAAACUCCUACGGGAGGCAGCAGUGAGGAAUAUUGGUCAAUGGCCGGAAGGCUGAACCAGCCAAGUCGCGUGAGGGAAUAAGGCCCUACGGGUCGUAAACCUCUUUUGUCAGGGAGCAAGGCCGCCCACGUGUGGACGGAAGGAGAGUACCUGGAGAAAAAGCAUCGGCUAACUCCGUGCCAGCAGCCGCGGUAAUACGGAGGAUGCGAGCGUUAUCCGGAUUUAUUGGGUUUAAAGGGUGCGUAGGCGGCCUGCCAAGUCAGCGGUAAAAUUGCGGGGCUCAACCCCGUACAGCCGUUGGAACUGGGGGCCUUGAGUGGGCGAGAAGAAGGCGGAAUGCGUGGUGUAGCGGUGAAAUGCAUAGAUAUCACGCAGAACCCCGAUUGCGAAGGCAGCCUUCCGGCGCCCUACUGACGCUGAGGCACGAAAGUGCGGGGAUCGAACAGGAUUAGAUACCCUGGUAGUCCGCACAGUAAACG